CGGACGGGUGAGUAAUGUCUGGGAAACUGCCCGAUGGAGGGGGAUAACUACUGGAAACGGUAGCUAAUACCGCAUAACGUCGCAAGACCAAAGAGGGGGACCUUAGGGCCUCUUGCCAUCGGAUGUGCCCAGAUGGGAUUAGCUAGUAGGUGGGGUAAUGGCUCACCUAGGCGACGAUCCCUAGCUGGUCUGAGAGGAUGACCAGCCACACUGGGACUGAGACACGGCCCAG
rnacentral:rRNA from 1 species